UCUUUUCUUUUGAUAAGAGAGUUUUUAAAACCAGUGUUAUUUAUGUAAGUUUAAGAGAAGUUUAUGUAUUAAAUUAUUGAUAUUAAAUAGUUUUAUUAGGCUUAGACUUAAUUCUAGGUCAUUUUGGGGGUUUAGCUCAGUUGGCUAGAGCAUCGGCUUUGCAAGCCGAGGGUCAAGGGUUCGAGUCCCUUAACCUCCAUUGGGCUUAUGCCCUAAAUUGUAAUUAAGUAUGUUUUUAAGUAACUUUGUUAAAGUAAUUGUUGGAAUGUGAAACACAAGAAGUUAAAAUUUCUGGGUUAAGUUGAGAUCUGUUGAUAUUAAGAAAAAUGUCUAGAAGCAAAAGCAAGCUUUCGAUAAAACCCGAAGUUGUUUCGCUAAAGUGCAAGGAUUAAACAGGAUUGUAUUUUUCAGCAGCCUAUUUUAUAAACGAUCUGCAUUUAGUAAAUAGUUUUUAGUUAGGAAAUAAUGUAAGUUACUAAGUGUGAUGUC
rnacentral:misc_RNA from 1 species